rnacentral:rRNA from 1 species
UGAGGAAUAUUGGUCAAUGGACGGAAGUCUGAACCAGCCAAGUAGCGUGCAGGAUGACGGCCCUAUGGGUUGUAAACUGCUUUUAUACGGGGAUAAAGUUAGGGACGUGUCCCUAUUUGCAGGUACCGUAUGAAUAAGGACCGGCUAAUUCCGUGCCAGCAGCCGCGGUAAUACGGAAGGUCCGGGCGUUAUCCGGAUUUAUUGGGUUUAAAGGGAGCGUAGGCUGUUUGUUAAGCGUGUUGUGAAAUGUAAGAGCUCAACUUUUAGAUUGCAGCGCGAACUGGCAGACUUGAGUGCGCACAACGUAGGCGGAAUUCAUGGUGUAGCGGUGAAAUGCUUAGAUAUCAUGACGAACUCCGAUUGCGAAGGCAGCUUACGGGAGCGCAACUGACGCUAAAGCUCGAAGGUGCGGGUAUCGAACAGG